GAUGAACGCUAGCGGCAGGCCUAACACAUGCAAGUCGAGGGGCAUCGCGGUGCAGCAAUGCACUGGCGGCGACCGGCGUACGGGUGCGUAACGCGUAUGCAACCUGCCCCGCACCGGGGGAUAGCCCGCCGAAAGGCGGAUUAAUACCCCAUGGUCCCGGGGGCCCGCAUGGGCAUCCGGGUAAAGCCUUGGCGGUGCGGGAUGGGCAUGCGUGCCAUUAGCUGGCUGGUGGGGUAACGGCCCACCAGGGCAACGAUGGCUAGGGGGUCUGAGAGGAUGGUCCCCCACACUGGUACUGAGACACGGACCAGACUCCUACGGGAGGCAGCAGUGAGGAAUAUUGGUCAAUGGGCGGAAGCCUGAACCAGCCAUGCCGCGUGCGGGAUGAAGGCCCUACGGGUUGUAAACCGCUUUCCCCGGGAAGAAUAACCCCGAUGAGUCGGGGGAUGCCGGUACCGGGGGAAUAAGGAUCGGCUAACUCCGUG
rnacentral:rRNA from 1 species